UUCUUUCUCAUGUUUGGAUCAUCUCUUAUGCUCACUAAUCACGCUUGUGCUGCUCUCCAAUUUCAACUCAUUUGGAUCAACUCUUAAAAUUUCUGUUACUUUCGUUGAAUUUUAAUCUAAUGCCGGCUUUCCUCUGGAGAUUUAAAGGCGACAUUUGAGAAUAUAUGUGUCGUUAACAUGGGAGUCCGAUAGUUAUACCACGAAAUAGAACCAUUUUUUGAAUCAUUUGUACGUGUUUACUUACAACGAGUGAAAACUUUGGGUGACCCAGUUUGAGAGAGAGAUCAUUAAAGCUUUGACGUUGGGUUUGCAAUUUAGUUAUCUCGGGGAUGUAAGUUCAUAAUCCUUGCUUGAGAUUAAUCGUACUGUUGUUGCCUCCCUCAUCUUGUAGAUUAGUCUUCUGUUAUAUCAGUAUCUCAAAAGUGGAAAUGUCCACAGCAGAUUUUAAUUUCAACGUUGAACUUUUAUGGCCAAGUUUUUUGUGAUAUAUGUGCAUUAAUCAUAACUGAUGCUUUGCAAGUUCCGAACGGCGAAUGCCCGUAAUCGUCAAGCUGAAACAAAGAAUCGAACACUACCAUGUAACAUGUCAAGUAUCUACAACGAUCGAGCCUAAUGCGGACGCAGAGUGUUCAAAAAGCUUGGGAAAAUCCAUCUGAGUUGUGGCUCAUUUCAAUCUGAGAGACUGAUUAACCCUAAAAUCUUCAGGCGCUUGAGCAACAUUGAUUGCCUAGUUAAUGAUGGCAACCCUAUUGCAUAUGGUGCAACUGUCUCUUUUCAGUAUGUCGCACCAAACCGGUUCCCUCUUGAUGUUUCCUCCCUCUCUUGCUCAAAUUAAUGUCUUCAAUAUGUACUCACACAAAGUAGUAGUGCUACAAUGUAUGAACUGCAGAAGUGGAUAAUGAGGAAGAUUCGUUUUUAUUGGA